GCAGCGGUGGACUGUAUUCGAGUGAGAAUGCCGGAAUGAGUAGCGAGAAUUAUGUGGGAAUCAUAAUGGCCGAAAAUCUAAGGUUUCUUGGGGAAGGUUCGUCCGCCCAAGGUAAGCCGGGAGCUAAGGCGAGGCCGAGAGGCGUAGUCGAUGCACAUACGGUUGAAAUUCCGUAGCCACCGAAACUUAAGCUAGAAGGACACUUGGAGCUAUCCAGACCCGGGCGUUGGUUGACCCGGGCGAAAGGGACCGAAAAUAAGUAGGGAAGCUGGAGAAUGACGAGGCGAGAAAAGUUCUAGUGUAUGCUAAGGUGCCCGUACCGCAAACCGACACAGGUAGAUGAGGAGAGAAUCCUAAGGCCAACGGGAGAAGGGUUGUUAAGGAACUCGGCAAAAUUACCCCGUAACUUCGGGAUAAGGGGAGCUCCCUAAGGGGAGCCGCAGAGAAUAGGCCCAAGCGACUGUUUACCAAAAACACAGGUCUAUGCUAAAUCGAAAGAUGACGUAUAUGGGCUGACGCCUGCCCGGUGCUGGAAGGUUAAGAGGAGGGCUUAGCGCAAGCGAAGGUCUGAAUUGAAGCCCCAGUAAACGGCGGCCGUAACAAUAACGGUCCUAAGGUAGCGAAAUUCCUUGUCAGGUAAGUUCUGACCCGCACGAAUGGCGUAACGAUUUGGGCGCUGUCUCAACAGCCCACCCGGCGAAAUUGUAGUACCGGUGAAGAUGCCGGUUACCCGCAACUAGACGGAAAGACCCCAUGGAGCUUUACUGUAGCUUAAUACUGAGGAUUGGUAAAUCAUGUACAGGAUAGGUGGGAGACAUGGAAGCCUGGGCGUCAGCUCAGGUGGAGUCACCCUUGGGAUACCACCCUUGAUUUACUGGUUUUCUAACCUGCGGCCGUGAAUCCGGCCGGGGGACACUGUUAGGUGGGCAGUUUGACUGGGGCGGUCGCCUCCUAAAAGGUAACGGAGGCGCUCAAAGGUUCGUUCAGCACGGACAGAAAUCGUGCAGUGAGUGUAAACGCAUAAACGAGCCUAACUGCGAGACCGACGGGUCGAGCAGUAACGAAAGUUGGAGUUAGUGAUCCGGCGGUAUGUGAGUGGAAAUGCCGUCGCUCAACGGAUAAAAGCUACCCUGGGGAUAACAGGCUGAUCUCCCCCAAGCGUCCACAGCGACGGGGAGGUUUGGCACCUCGAUGUCGGCUCGUCACAUCCUGGGGCUGAAUUCGGUCCCAAGGGUUCGGCUGUUCGCCGAUUAAAGUGGCACGCGAGCUGGGUUCAGAACGUCGUGAGACAGUUCGGUCCCUAUCUGUUGCGGGCGUAAGAGAUUUGAAGGGAGCUGUCCUUAGUACGAGAGGACCGGGAUGGACAGACCUCUGGUGCACCAGUUGUCCUGCCAAGGGCACAGCUGGGUAGCUACGUCUGGACGAGAUAAACGCUGAAAGCAUCUAAGCGUGAAACUCUCCCUAAGAUUAGAUCUCUCAUCCUUUAUGGAGUAAGGCUCGACGUAGACUAUGUCGUUGAUAGGUCGGAGGUGGAAGUGCUGCGAGGCAUGUAGCUGACCGAUACUAAUAAGCCGAGGGCUUGACC
rnacentral:rRNA from 1 species